GUGGGGAAUCUUAGACAAUGGGCGCAAGCCUGAUCUAGCCAUGCCGCGUGAGUGAUGAAGGCCCUAGGGUUGUAAAGCUCUUUCAGCUGGGAAGAUAAUGACGGUACCAGCAGAAGAAGCCCCGGCUAACUCCGUGCCAGCAGCCGCGGUAAUACGGAGGGGGCUAGCGUUGUUCGGAAUUACUGGGCGUAAAGCGCGCGUAGGCGGACUGAAAAGUUGGGGGUGAAAUCCCGGGGCUCAACCUCGGAACUGCCUUCAAAACUAUCAGUCUGGAGUUCGAGAGAGGUGAGUGGAAUUCCGAGUGUAGAGGUGAAAUUCGUAGAUAUUCGGAGGAACACCAGUGGCGAAGGCGGCUCACUGGCUCGAUACUGACGCUGAGGUGCGAAAGCGUGGGGAGCAAACAGGAUUAGAAACCCUUGUAGUCC
rnacentral:rRNA from 1 species